rnacentral:rRNA from 1 species
GACAGAGGGUGCAAGCGUUAUUCGGAAUCAUUGGGCGUAAAGGGCGCGUAGGCGGUUUUAUAAGUCGGAUGUGAAAUCCCAGGGCUCAACCGUGGAAGUGCAUCCGAAACUGUAUAACUUGAAUCCCAGAGAGGGCGGUGGAAUUCCCAGUGUAGAGGUGAAAUUCGUAGAUAUUGGGAGGAACACCGGUGGCGAAGGCGGUUCUCUGGGCCUUACCUGACGCUGAGGAGCGAAAGCGUGGGGAGCGAACAGG